rnacentral:rRNA from 1 species
GAGUUUGAUCAUGGCUCAGAUUGAACGCUGGCGGCAGGCCUAACACAGGCAAGUCGAACGGUAACAGGAAACAGCUUGCUGUUUCGCUGACGAGUGGCGGACGGGUGAGUAAUGUCUGGGAAACUGCCUGAUGGAGGGGGAUAACUACUGGAAACGGUAGCUAAUACCGCAUAACGUCGCAAGACCAAAGAGGGGGACCUUCGGGCCUCUUGCCAUCAGAUGUGCCCAGAUGGGAUUAGCUAGUAGGUGGGGUAACGGCUCACCUAGGCGACGAUCCCUAGCUGGUCUGAGAGGAUGACCAGCCACACUGGAACUGAGACACGGUCCAGACUCCUACGGGAGGCAGCAGUGGGGAAUAUUGCACAAUGGGCGCAAGCCUGAUGCAGCCAUGCCGCGUGUAUGAAGAAGGCCUUCGGGUUGUAAAGUACUUUCAGCGGGGAGGAAGGGAGUAAAGUUAAUACCUUUGCUCAUUGACGUUACCCGCAGAAGAAGCACCGGCUAACUCCGUGCCAGCAGCCGCGGUAAUACGGAGGGUGCAAGUGUUAAUCGGAAUUACUGGGCGUAAAGCGCACGCAGGCGGUUUGUUAAGUCAGAUGUGAAAUCCCCGGGCUCAACCUGGGAACUGCAUCUGAUACUGGCAAGCUUGAGUCUCGUAGAGGGGGGUAGAAUUCCAGGUGUAGCGGUGAAAUGCGUAGAGAUCUGGAGGAAUACCGGUGGCGAAGGCGGCCCCCUGGACGAUGACUGACGCUCAGGUGCGAAAGCGUGGGGAGCAAACAGGAUUAGAUACCCUGGUAGUCCACGCCGUAAACGAUGUCGACUUGGAGGUUGUGCCCUUGAGGCGUGGCUUCCGGAGCUAACGCGUUAAGUCGACCGCCUGGGGAGUACGGCCGCAAGGUUAAAACUCAAAUGAAUUGACGGGGGCCCGCACAAGCGGUGGAGCAUGUGGUUUAAUUCGAUACAACGCGAAGAACCUUACCUGGUCUUGACAUCCACGGAAGUUUUCAGAGAUGAGAAUGUGCCUUCGGGAACCGUGAGACAGGUGCUGCAUGGCUGUCGUCAGCUCGUGUUGUGAAAUGUUGGGUUAAGUCCCGCAACGAGCGCAACCCUUAUCCUUUGUUGCCAGCGGUCCGGCCGGGAACUCAAAGGAGACUGCCAGUGAUAAACUGGAGGGAGGUGGGGAUGACGUCAAGUCAUCAUGGCCCUUACGACCAGGGCUACACACGUGCUACAAUGGCGCAUACAAAGAGAAGCGACCUCGCGAGAGCAAGCGGACCUCAUAAAGUGCGUCGUAGUCCGGAUUGGAGUCUGCAACUCGACUCCAUGAAGUCGGAAUCGCUAGUAAUCGUGGAUCAGAAUGCCACGGUGAAUACGUUCCCGGGCCUUGUACACACCGCCCGUCACACCAUGGGAGUGGGUUGCAAAAGAAGUAGGUAGCUUAACCUUCGGGAGGGCGCUUACCACUCUGUGGUUCAUGACUGGGGUGAAGUCGGAACAAGGUAACCGUAGGGGAACCUGCGGUUG